UGUUAUCUCCCCUGAUAACAGAACUAGUCACUUUUUUUUAUUUCCUACUUUCCUAAUUUUUAAACAUUGCAGCCAAUCAAUUUUUCAGAUGUUUUGUACAUAUAUACAUGGUCAAUUUAUCAAUCGUUGCCUGAAUUUAAAUCGAUGGUAGCAAUAUAAUAUUACUAUUAUGUGCGUGAUAUUAUUAAUUACGCCGUUUUGUGUAUCUUUUUACUGCUUUUGGUAUUUAAUCGAAAUUAUUCUAUACAUGUAAUCUAUUAAUUAUAUGAACACAAUGGUAAUAGUAUUAUAAUAUAUAUCCAGUGUACCAUGUGAAUUGAUAAUAAUAUUAAAUUCACUAUAGGUUAACAUUAUUAAUACGCAGUUUUAACAUGGUCGUUCUCGUCGUGGGACACCCUAUAUACAUUAAAUUGCAAUAUAAUAGGUACU